rnacentral:rRNA from 1 species
GCGUAAAGGGCGCGUAGGCGGUCUAGUGAGUGUGAUGUGAAAGCCCCGGGCUCAACCUGGGAAGUGCAUCGCAAACGACUAAACUGGAGUAGGUGAGAGGGUGGCGGAAUUUCCGGUGUAGCGGUGAAAUGCGUAGAGAUCGGAAGGAACGUCAAUGGCGAAGGCAGCCACCUGGCACCAUACUGACGCUGAGGCGCGAAAGCGUGGGGAGCGAACAGGAUUAGAUACCCUGGUAGUCCACGCUGUAAACGAUGAGAACUAAAUGUUGGAGGGGGAACCCUUCAGUAUUGAAGCUAACGCGAUAAGUUCUCCGCCUGGGAAGUACAGUCGCAAGACUGAAACUCAAAAGAAUUGACGGGGGCCCGCACAAGCGGUGGAGCAUGUGGUUUAAUUCGAUGCAACGCGAAGAACCUUACCUACCCUUGACAUCCUGCGAAUCCCGAUGAGAGUUGGGAGUGCCGCAAGGAGCGCAGAGACAGGUGCUGCAUGGCUGUCGUCAGCUCGUGUUGUGAGAUGUUGGGUUAAGUCCCGUAACGAGCGCAACCCUUGUCCUUAGUUGCCAUCAUUUAGUUGGGGACUCUAAGGAGACUGCCGGUGAUGAACCGGAGGAAGGCGGGGACGACGUCAAGUCAUCAUGGCCUUUAUGGGUAGGGCUACACACGUGCUACAAUGGGGCGUACAGAGGGUCGCCAACCCGCGAGGGGGAGCCAAUCUCUUAAAGCGUCUCGUAGUCCGGAUCGGAGUCUGCAACUCGACUCCGUGAAGUCGGAAUCGCUAGUAAUCGCGAA